GCGCCAGUAGCUCAGCUGGAUAGAGCAACGGCCUUCUAAGCCGUAGGUCGGAGGUUCGAAUCCUCCCUGGCGCGCCA
rnacentral:tRNA from 1 species